CGAGCGAAGCGAGAGAACGUUGCGCCAGCAACGGCCCGCAGGGCGAGCCACGAAGUGGCGAGUAAUCCUCUAUCACCGACCA
rnacentral:sRNA from 2 species